rnacentral:misc_RNA from 1 species
AAGUCGUAACAAGGUAACCGUAGGUGAACCUGCGGUUGGAUCAUUAAUAAAUAUAGAAACUCUCCUAGAGAGCACUAUUACACCUUUGUGAACUGUUUUCUGUCUCUGGCGGGUUCUGCCCGCAUCUAGAGGGUACUUAUGUACCCUCGCAUAUUUUAAACCUUUUAUUUUAAAUUUUUGUCUUCAACUUAAUUAUAUUAAUUAAAAACAACUUUUGACAACGGAUCUCUAGGCUCUC